UGGGCAGUGGGGGUUGGCUUCAGCCCCGGGGCCCCAGCAAGUCUAACACUAGCCCUGGCGACCUCAUUAAAAAGGGGUCAUGACCCACAUUGAGGUCUCGACCCACAGUCUGAGAACCACUGUACCAUUUCACUCUGUGACCAAAUAUAACUGGCACCAUUGCACCCAGUAGACUUGCUCUCCAUUUUCAG